GAUGAAGAACGUAGCGAAAUGCGAUACGUAAUGUGAAUUGCAGAAUUCAGUGAAUCAUCGAAUCUUUGAACGCAUAUUGCGCUCUCUGGUAUUCCGGAGAGCAUGCUUGUUUGAGUAUCAGUAAACACCUCAACUCCCUUUUCUUUUUUGAAAUUGGAGCUGGACUUGAGUGAUCCCAACGCUUUCUUCCAAGAAAGUGGCGGGUUGCUUGAAAUGCAGGUGCAGCUGAACUUUUCUCUGAGCUAUAAGCAUAUCUAUUUAGUCUGCCUAAAAAACAGAUUAUUACCUUUGCUGCAGCUAACAUAAAGGAGACUAGUUCUUGUGCUGACUGAUGCAGGAUUCACAGAGACAGCGUCGGCUGACUUUGUAAACUCGAUCUCAAAUCAAGUAAGACUACCCGCUGAACUUAAGCAUAUCAAUAAGCGGAGGA
rnacentral:misc_RNA from 1 species